CACGACAACGAUCGGACGUCGGCGACUAGUAGUGGUGCGCUCACUUCUGGCGCUCCUUGACACCAACAUGUCGAACUAAUGGACGUGCGACUUAGUUGACUUCAUAAGCCUAUGAGCUUCCAAGAACGCUAGGGAAAGCGAGAAAGUUGGCCGAUGAUAAAUCCGCCACCACGAUGGCAGGCGCACACCUCUAAGGACUACGAUGCUAAGCUGGGCGCCCAAUGCGCCGCGCUCUCGCUGGAAAUUGCCGCCAAUUCGGCGCGACGUCAGGGCAUCAUC
rnacentral:misc_RNA from 1 species